AGUAUUUUAGUCAACAGUCUGAGACUCUGAAGCAGAAUUUUUACACACAAUCUUCUGCUUGCUAUCAUUUUAGCAGGAAGAAGCUUAAGACAAGAAAUGCAAAGUGGCCUCCAGGUGGCCAUCAUUUACCAAGGCCACCAUGGGUCAAAUCAAGAUUCGUGUGUCACAGCCUUGGCCCUGACAACCAUUAUACUGUGAAAGUUUUAGUUGCCUACAGAUAUCGUCUUCAACCCAACGUUUCACCUGAGCCAAACACACCCAACGUAUCUGGACAUUUCGGAAAUUCUGUGCUUCAACUGUCUCUGCUUUCUCUGGUCAAAGAAACGGAACAGCAGGGGAAAAUCUGAAGCUAAGAGGCAAGGUAACUGACAAGCAAUGAAAUUACAAGUGAG